GCUAGCAGCCGUAUCGCCCUGUAACUCGCAACUGGCAGCCCCACUGAAGCUCAGCAGGGGUGAGCCUGGUCAGUACCUGGAUGGGAGACCUCCUGGGAAAAACUAAGGCUGCUGCUGGAA
rfam:Lepisosteus oculatus linkage group LG26, whole genome shotgun sequence.